GACGUAGGUGGCGAACGUUAUCCGGAAUCAUUGGGCGUAAAGGGUGCGUAGAUGGCAUGAUAAGUUAUUAGUGGGAAAUCGAGGCUCAACCUCGUGGAAGCUAGUAAUACUGUUUUGCUUGAGUACAGAAGAGGUUAACGGAACUCCAUGUGGAGCGGUAAAAUGCGUAGAUAUAUGGAAGAACACCAAUAACGGCGAAGGCAGUUAACUAUUCUGUUACUGACAUUGAGGCACGAAAGCGUGGGGAGCAAACAGG
rnacentral:rRNA from 1 species